AAUCAACCGAGAUUCCCCCAGUAGCGGCGAGCGAACGGGGAGCAGCCCAGAGUCUGAAUCAGCUUGUGUGUUAGUGGAAGCGUCUGGAAAGUCGCACGGUACAGGGUGAAAGUCCCGUACACGAAAACACACAGGCUGUGAACUCGAAGAGUAGGGCGGGACACGUGGUAUCCUGUCUGAAUAUGGGGGGACCAUCCUCCAAGGCUAAAUACUCCUGACUGACCGAUAGUGAACCAGUACCGUGAGGGAAAGG
rnacentral:rRNA from 1 species